rnacentral:lncRNA from 1 species
GAAGGACUUCGACUAUUGAUUGGGCUUCAAUCUAUUAACAUUGGUCAACUUUUGACUUUCCUUUUUACUCAUGCUUCCACGUGGUUGCCGCGUAUGUUUGGACUAGAGCCUCGGUGGUGAGACGAAACAAGAACAAAGCUUAAUGACCUUAAUUAGGUCAUUGCAUUGCCGCUCCUCUAAUUUUAUCUAUCCUUGGGUGGUUUUAUUUC